rnacentral:rRNA from 1 species
UGCAGUCGACGGUAACAGGCCUUCGGGUGCUGACGAGUGGCGAACGGGUGAGUAAUGCAUCGGAACGUGCCCAGUCGUGGGGGAUAACGCAGCGAAAGCUGUGCUAAUACCGCAUACGAUCUGUGGAUGAAAGCGGGGGACCUUCGGGCCUCGCGCGAUUGGAGCGGCCGAUGUCAGAUUAGGUAGUUGGUGGGGUAAAGGCUCACCAAGCCAACGAUCUGUAGCUGGUCUGAGAGGACGACCAGCCACACUGGGACUGAGACACGGCCCAGACUCCUACGGGAGGCAGCAGUGGGGAAUUUUGGACAAUGGGCGCAAGCCUGAUCCAGCAAUGCCGCGUGCAGGAAGAAGGCCUUCGGGUUGUAAACUGCUUUUGUACGGAACGAAACGGUCCUGGUUAAUACCUGGGGCUAAUGACGGUACCGUAAGAAUAAGCACCGGCUAACUACGUGCCAGCAGCCGCGGUAAUACGUAGGGUGCGAGCGUUAAUCGGAAUUACUGGGCGUAAAGCGUGCGCAGGCGGUGCUGUAAGACAGGCGUGAAAUCCCCGGGCUCAACCUGGGAAUUGCGCUUGUGACUGCAGUGCUGGAGUACGGCAGAGGGGGAUGGAAUUCCGCGUGUAGCAGUGAAAUGCGUAGAUAUGCGGAGGAACACCGAU